GUGAGGAAUAUUGGUCAAUGGGCGCAAGCCUGAACCAGCCAUGCCGCGUGCAGGAAGACGGUCCUAUGGAUUGUAAACUGCUUUUAUUUGGGAAUAAACUCCGGUACGUGUACCGGCCUGAAGGUACCAAAUGAAUAAGCACCGGCUAACUCCGUGCCAGCAGCCGCGGUAAUAAGGAGGGUGCAAGCGUUAUCCGGAAUCUUUGGGUUUAAAGGGUCCGCAGGCGGUCUUAUAAGUCAGUGGUGAAAGCCUACAGAUCAACUGUAUAACUGCCAUUGAUACUGUAGGACUUGAAUUCGAUCGAAGUGAGCGGAAUGUGACAUGUAGCGGUGAAAUGCUUAGAUAUGUCACAGAACACCGAUAGCGAAGGCAGCUCACUAGGUCUUGAUUGACGCUCAGGGACGAAAGCGUGGGGAGCAAACAGGAUUAGAUACCCUAGUAGUCC
rnacentral:rRNA from 1 species